GAUGAAGAACGUAGCGAAAUGCGAUAAGUAAUGUGAAUUGCAGAAUUCAGUGAAUCAUCGAAUCUUUGAACGCACAUUGCGCCCGCCAGUAUUCUGGCGGGCAUGCCUGUCUGAGCGUCAUUUCAACCCUCAUGCCCCUAGGGCGUGGUGUUGGGGAUCGGCCAAAGCCCGCGAGGGACGGCCGGCCCCUAAAUCUAGUGGCGGACCCGUCGUGGCCUCCUCUGCGAAGUAGUGAUAUUCCGCAUCGGAGAGCGACGAGCCCCUGUCGUUAAACCCCCAACUUUCCAAGGUUGACCUCAGAUCAGGUAGGAAUACCCGCUGAACUUAAGCAUAUCAAUAAGCGGAGGA
rnacentral:misc_RNA from 1 species